CGCGGUGUCAGUCUUCUAUGAAAAGUCAUAGUGAUAAGACGUGUAUCGUAAUCGUGUCACCGGCUUUGGUGAUUCAACUACGCAACUCGUCCAAAAAGUACAUGGCUGGUCCAAAACAAUAAAUGGAAUCAUCCAACUUGACGAGCGGAAAAAGUUCCAGUAUAAACGCUAUCAUAAUUUGUCAAAGAGAAGUUUAUUCUAUUUCUAUAUUAUAUAUAUUUAUUUUACUUCUAUUGGAUCGUUUUUAUAAUGAACAUUUAUUACAAAUACUAAUACUUUUCUUUAAAUAGUGUAUUCAAUCUAAAAAUAGUUAUUCUAUUUCCUUGUAUAUAACAUUUUUUAUUCCUGAAAAAUUGAUAAUAAUUAGUCCAUAGUUUUAAUAAAUACUAAUAUUUUAUGACAUAAGUACAUUCUAUGAAAGGAAAGAAACUAUGGAAAAAAUAUUUUCAUUAGUAGGUUCUUUUUCUAAAGAUUCCCUUCGCCCCAACUAAUACAGAUUUAUUUUCAGAAUUUUUUUUUGAUCGCGCGCAAUGCGGUCUAUAGAUUCAGUGUUUGCUGCGUAAGAGUUUUUUGAUAUUUUAGAGCAUGAAAGCUCUGAUUAAAUUUAUAUAUUAUUAUAAAUUUAUACAUAUUAUAUUCGCGAAGUUAAAGUCAGUGUUUGUUCGCCGAUUGAAAAUUAUACGGACGGGUUAAUAAUUUCUUUCUUUUUUCUUUUUUUUUUUUUUUAUAUAUAUAUAUAUAUGUGUGUAUAAAUAUUCGUUUUCGGUAUAAAGUAGAGUCAGUGCUUUUCAAGAGAAUAAGGCGAUCAUCCAUCACGCGAAGAGUUUCCUAUGCUUGAUGACUCCUUUCUCGAUGACGUGCCCUGGGUCCUGGAUAGCAUUGCAGAUUCUUCGCAUCGUUUGGUGAGUCGCAUGCAUUUAUGUUCCUCCAAUCACUCAAUCAUGUCGUAGGAUGAAAGGUCCGAAUCGACACGGGUGAUUGGUUGUAUACGUAGAUUUUUGCACGAGCACAGUGACCGCGGGUAUUUAUUAUACCCGUGAGUAAUAACAUUUCUUUUUUUUUGAUGUUUUAUUUACUAGAUCAGGAUAGGGCUUCUUGCACAUCGCGUUUUUGAAAAGACAAUAUUGAUAGUUAAUUUUAUAUUAAUAAUGUUUUAAUAUAAUAUAAUAUAACAUAAAUAAUUAGUUUGGUUAUAUAUAUAAUUAUUUGUGAAAUCAAAUAUAAUAAAUAGGUAUAUACAUUUAUGAAUAUAUUUAUGAAUAAAAUGUGUGAAUAUUUUAAUAAAUGAGAAAUAUUGAAGUGACUUGAAUAAAGUCUCUUUUAGUGAAGAAAUCAGAUAUCCUCUGAUUUCGUUACAAUAAAAAUAUCAAAAUAAAUGUUACACAAUAGUAUAAUAAUAAUAUAAUAUUGAAUAUAACGAAUAACGUUUAAUUCUAUCUUUAGUUUCAUAAUAUUAUUUGAUUUUCUGUAAAGCGAAGCAUAAUUUGAAAUGUGAAAAUAUUUUAUUUUUUCCGUAAGAAAAAUGUAUGAAAAAUUAUGUGCAAGAAGAUAUUUCGCGACAGGUAGAUUUCUAGAUCAAAGUAACAAGUUUUUCACAUUGAUUUUGCUUUUUCGAAAAUGUACUUUGAUGAAGAGAUCGCCUGAGGUUUUUGUUAUGAAUAUUUCAUUUAGAGUCAAUUUCUUAUUAUUAAUUACAUAUAUAAAUUAUGAUAUAAAAAUUUAUUAUUAAUAAAUUUCAUAUUUGUUUUUUGUUCUUGAAAUUAAUAAGAUUAGAACUAAUUAGAUUUUUAAAGUAAAUUUAUGAAACUUGAUUAAAUUUUAAAAUACAAAUAAAUUUUCAAAGAAUUUUACAGAACAUUAGUCCGUUAGAACCACUAAUAUUCUUUUUAGCUCAGGAUUUUCAGGUUUAACCCCUUCCAUGUUCAUUGCCAGGAUCUCACUCACGUGCCCAGGUGCUACUUGGGUGAGAGAGAGGUGAUGGAUAUGAUGAUCAUAGUUGAUAAGUUGAUUAAUGACUUUUCAGCGACUGACGAUGCGUUAGUGUAUCGUGCACGACGUAUUUUCCACAUUAUGUGUGUGUGGUUAGGCUGUGGAAUUGCGUCGGUUCGUUUACAUAAUCGCAUACAGUAUUAACUUGAUAUGUUUAAAAUAUUUACAAUAUUAAUUACUAUUAUAAUUUCUAACAAUAAGUUAUACGAUAUUAUAAUUCUUACUUUGAAGUUACGACAUUAUAUCAAAUUUUAUAUUAUUCUAAUGAUUUAAUUAUUUUAAAAGACAUAUUGUUUUAUUGACAAUAAGAAUUUGUAAUUAAAAUUAAGAUAUACGCAUAACGCAAUGAUCGCUAGCCAUCGUCAGUCGAUUUCAGGAAAAUGGUACGUACAGUUAGAGUGUGCGAGUAGUGUGCCAAGCUCGGGUGUCGGAGGCGUCCCGGGACGCUUUCCCUAGUGUAGGCUUUUGCGCCCGAGUAUUAUGUGUGAGAAUCGUGGAAUGAAUGUGUUGGUAUGCCUGUUUUGUCAUUUUUUAAAUAUAGGGCUAGGUAGGAUAGGUAGUAUACUUCUGUGUGUUUGUUAAUUAUAAGUAGGUAGGGCCGGGCAGGUUGUCACAGUCUCUGUCGGGUAGGCGCGUUUUCGCGUGACAACUUGUUUCAGGAAAUAAAAUUUGAAAAAUCGAGGGUAAAGCUGAGACGAAUGUACUACUAUUCGUAGUACUAUUCGUCUCUGGUUUCGCUUUUCGAUUUUUCGAAUUUCGCGGUCGCGGUCGCGAUUUGCUUUCGAAACGAACGUUGCGCUCGAGAUUCUGUGCAUGUACGGAGAAGGAUCAUUGCGAUCGUUGGUCGUCCAUGUACUUAGUUUCCGCGAUUUAGUCCUUUUUUUUUCCUUUUUUGAUUUGCGAUCAGUGAAUCUCGAGCCUAGAUUUAAGUUUCAGCGGGCAUUGCGCCCGAAGGAGGAAGACCGAAGAGGCCCGACAAACUGUCACGAAGAGGGCUGCAACGAAUGGUUUCUCAUUUUUUGGAUCUUGUCUGGGUCCAAAGAAUGGGAAAUCAUUGUUAUUACUUUGUCACUGUGCUCGUUUAGUAAUACGUAGUAUUUGAUGUUGUAUCGUCUGGCCGAUUAUGCAUGCCGGCCCAUCAUCCAGAUCCAGUCAUCAUGGGCAUCGCGUUUUUUUAUUAGUGUUGCGUUAAAAUGAGAAUCGCGUUUGCAUUAGUGUUGCGUUAAAAUGAGAGCCGCGUUUGCAUUAGUGUUGCGUUAAAAUGAGAAUCGCGUUUGCAUUAGUGUUGCGUUAAAAUGAGAGCCGCGUUUGCAUUAGUGUUGCGUUAAAAUGAGAGCCGCGUUUGCAUUAGUGUUGCGUUAAAAUGAGAGCCGCGUUUGCAUUAGUGUUGCGAAUUAUAAGAUAUGUUUUUUUUUGUUAUAAACUGUUAUAUAAUUUUAAAAUUUGUAUCAUUUGUCAUUAAUUUUUUUACUUUUAAUUAAUAAUAACUUUCCAAUCAUAAUAUUAAAUGAUUUUUUUUUUAUUUUUUUAUAUUUGAUUUUAAAUAAUAGCGUUAAAUUUAUAAAUAAUCGCGUUCUUUUAAGUAGUGUUGCGAAUAAUAAUAAAUGCCCAAAUGUCUUCUAUGGAGAGUGUGAAAGUAUUCGCACUCCUGUUCCUGAAUCACUUUAAGCGGCUAAAAAAGCUGCAAAGGUGAUUGUACAAUAGCAGUCAUACAAGGAGACUGCAUUGGAUUCUCUCCAGUAUCAUUAGUGUUGCGUUAUUUAAAUUUGAGUGCGUAGAGUAGAGUUGCGAAAAUAAUUGAUACGAUUUUUACGGGAAAUUUUCAGUUUUUUUUUUUUUUUUUUUUUUUGACAGUUGUAAAUUAAUUAAUAUUGCAAAUAUUGUAAUGCACUCAUCGUGGUUCAUUUAAAAGAUUUUUUAUUUUGCAAUAAAUAUUAGUUUAUUAGUGUCGCGAUACGAAAUGAAUAUUCCACUCGCGGUUUAUUGCUCGGGUUUUAUAUCGAGUGGAAGAAUAUUUUUAUUUUAGUAACCCAUCUGGUUACUUAAUUAUUUUUUCUUUUUCAGCACCCCUUAUCAUUUUGCAUUUGUUGUAAGAGAUAUUACUAUAAUAUGUAUAUUUGUUUUUUCUAAGUUUUUUUUUAAAUAAUAAAUUUAAAUGCCUUUGAUAAUAAACUUUUUGUAAUAAAUAUUAAUAAAUGUUCAUUAUAUUAGAUUUAUUUUUUUUUUGAAAAUAUUCUUUUCGUUUGUAUUUUUUUUAUUAUUAUACUAAUCAAUAAAUUUGUUUCAGAUUUAUUAACUCGCGGAAACACCAUUUAUGUAUUUGAAAUGAAUAUGAUAUUGAAAUGUGUUAUCAGUAAAUAGUAAGUAUUCAUAUCUUAUGGAACUAAUUAUUUGUAAUUUGAUUUAUUUUAGCGAUCAAUGUGGAAUAAAUACGAAUUCGAUAAAAAAA